GAUGAACGCUGGCGGCGUGCCUAAUACAUGCAAGUCGAGCGAACGGACGAGAAGCUUGCUUUUCUGAUGUUAGCGGCGGACGGGUGAGUAACACGUGGAUAACCUACCUAUAAGACUGGGAUAACUUCGGGAAACCGGAGCUAAUACCGGAUAAUAUUUUGAACCGCAUGGUUCAAAAGUGAAAGACGGUCUUGCUGUCACUUAUAGAUGGAUCCGCGCUGCAUUAGCUAGUUGGUAAGGUAACGGCUUACCAAGGCAACGAUGCAUAGCCGACCUGAGAGGGUGAUCGGCCACACUGGAACUGAGACACGGUCCAGACUCCUACGGGAGGCAGCAGUAGGGAAUCUUCCGCAAUGGGCGAAAGCCUGACGGAGCAACGCCGCGUGAGUGAUGAAGGUCUUCGGACCGUAAAACUCUGUUAUUAGGGAAGAACAUAUGUGUAAGUAACUGUGCUCAUCUUGACGGUACCUAAUCAGAAAGCCACGGCUAACUACGUG
rnacentral:rRNA from 1 species